AACCCAUGAUGUGGAACAUCGAUCAAAAGACCUUUGAACCUCUCCCAAGCUGCGUGUAGAGAUUCUCCUUCGUCCUGUUUAAAUGUCAUAAUAUGAUUCUUAAGCUU
rfam:Helianthus annuus linkage group 15, whole genome shotgun sequence.